rnacentral:rRNA from 1 species
UGAGGAAUAUUGGUCAAUGGGCGAGAGCCUGAACCAGCCAAGUCGCGUGAGGGAAGACGGUCCUAUGGAUUGUAAACCUCUUUUGUCGGGGAGCAACGGCCGGUACGUGUACCGGAAUGAGAGUACCCGAAGAAAAAGCAUCGGCUAACUCCGUGCCAGCAGCCGCGGUAAUACGGAGGAUGCGAGCGUUAUCCGGAUUUAUUGGGUUUAAAGGGUGCGUAGGCGGAAUGUCAAGUCAGCGGUAAAAUGUCAGGGCUCAACCCUGUCCGGCCGUUGAAACUGGCGUUCUGGAGUGGGCGAGAA